ACAUUUGAAUAGCAGAAACAUACGCUAUUAUUUUUCACUUAUGCAAUUUAUAAUUUAUAUUAUGUAAAUAAACUCUAGAUAUAUUCAAAUUAUUACCCUAUAGUUUCACACUUUAGUACACUUAACAUUUCUCUUUUAAAAAAUGCUACCUGACAUCUUAUGCCCUCUCACAUCCUAUAGUUUAAAAUAUUUCUUUAGGUAUCGUUUGAUUCGGGAAUAAGUAAAAAGUGGCUAUUCGAGGAAUAUGCAUAAAUUGAGGUAUAAGCGGGGAUUAGAUCAAUUUUGUGUAUAGAUGAAAAAAUUGGGUUAUUUCUGGGAAUAAAAAAAAUAGCGUUUGGUUAGCUAAGAUGGAAUAAGAAGGAUAGUGGAUAGUUAUAAAUAAAAAAUAUUGAUAUUACCCUCUUAUUAUAUUUGAAUUUAAAUUUUUAAAUUUUAAAUUUAUAUUUUUAAUNAAAUAAUUUAUUAUAAUAUUUAAAUAUAAAUAAUAUGUAUUAAUAUAGUACAAUUAAUAAUUUUAUAAUAAAAAUAAUCUAUUAUAAUAUAUAACAUACUAUAUUUAUAUAAUUUAGUUUUAAUUCAAUUUAUAAUUUUAAUUAAGUUUGAAAUUAAGUAUUUGAAUAGUACUAUUCCACCAAAAUAGUGGAAUAGCAAAUUUCAAGCUAUUCCGGAAUAAUUGGGAAUAACAAUAUUUGACCGGAAUAAAAUAUUCCGGUAAAAAUUCACUCCGUUUGACGGAAUAGCGGGAAUAACUUUCGUUAACCUCGCUUAUCCCCCAAACCAAACGGAGCCUUAGAUUUUUAGUAAAAUGAUAAUAAUAAUAAUAAUAAUUAAUAAGA
rnacentral:lncRNA from 1 species